rnacentral:snoRNA from 14 species
UCAGCACACUGUUAGAGCCCGGUGCUAUCCUGUCUGUGCAGUGCUGGGUGUAGGAUGUGUGCCAAAGAAAUAUGCUUGGCCUUUGACCCACCCUUUCUGAACCACGGAGGGAAAUGGGUCGAGGUCUUGCAACAAAA